rfam:Leclercia adecarboxylata strain I1 Leclercia_S84_R1__paired__contig_15, whole genome shotgun sequence.
ACCUGGGCUGCCAUUUCACGAUCAGACAGGCCACCGCAAAUCUGGAUAAUACGGUCAGACAGCGUCGACUUACCGUGGUCAAUGUGAGCAAUGAUCGAAAAGUUACGUAUGUUCUUCAUAUAGUUAAAUAAUUAUGCCUUACGAAUUCCUGGAGGCCGCUGUUCUUAGCCUGACGUUUUUCAGUGCGAAAACGCAGCAUUCUACACUACAUCUCCUUCACCGGGAAAUGCUCUUCCAGCAAGCUUAGCGUGAAGAUUCAGCGUUUUCUUUUAUGAGAUGUAAAUAAAGCAAAGCCCGGUGACAUCACCGGGCUUCAGAAGAGAGCAUUUCGACACGAAGCUGAUCGGGGGGCAAUCCAACACUGAGGAUCACAGGCUGCCACUCUUCACGGACGGCAAGCCUGGAUGAAAAGCCGCGGGCAAGUAAAAAGCCACCCACGCCACCCAGAGCUGCCCCGCACAUUGCGGCAAGAUCGGUACUGAACAUAACCUGGAAGACGCCCCCCAGGGCAAACAGCCCUACCAGCGGCGAGAGGUAGACCAGCAUGGCAGAACCCAGCAGGCUGCCUUCGGCGAUUCCUAACUCGACUUUUUGUCCUGCAACCAGCGGCUCUUCGCUGGGCACACUAAUGGUGUGUGACGUUUGCGGCCCGAGUUUAUUCAGCACCCGGCUUCCGCAACCAGCGCGGGAGGCGCAGCUGUUACAGGAUGCUUUGACGUCACAGCUAACCAGCGCGACGCCCUUCUGCCAUGAAACGACAGUUGCCCACUCUUUGAUCAUUGUGCGGCCCUGAAUUUAAUGCUGUCGGCGAUGCGU